rnacentral:rRNA from 1 species
ACGGGUGAGUAACACGUAGCUAAUCUACCUCAAAGCGCGGGAUAACGUGUCGAAAGGCAGGCUAAUACCGCAUAAGCUCGCGAUCUGUAGAGGGUUGCGAGAAAAGGCUUAGGUCACUUUGAGAUGAGGCUGCGGCCCAUCAGCUAGUUGGGGUGGUAAAAGCACACCAAGGCGACGACGGGUAGGGGACCUGAGAGGGUGACCCCCCACACUGGGACUGAGACACGGCCCAGACUCCUACGGGAGGCAGCAGUGAGGAAUAUUGCACAAUGGGCGCAAGCCUGAUGCAGCGACGCCGCGUGGGUGAAGAAGGUUUUCGGAUCGUAAAACCCUUUUCUGUGUGACGAGCAAGGACGGUAGCACAGGAAUAAGUCUCGGCUAACUACGUGCCAGCAGCCGCGGUAAAACGUAGGAGACAAACGUUAUCCGGAGUUACUGGGCGUAAAGGGCGUGUAGGUGGUUUCGUAAGUCUGGCGUGAAAUUUUCCGGCUUAACCGGGAAAGGUCGUCGGAUACUGCGGAACUAGAGGACGGUAGAGGCGUGUGGAAUUCCGGGUGUAGUGGUGAAAUGCGUAGA